GGUCUGGUUCAGAUGGAGGUCUCUGCCCCCCCUGAAGAGGACCGGAUGGAGGUCUCUGCCCCCCCUGAAGAGGACCGGGUCUUGGUUCUGGUCCGUGUUUGUCCGUUAGCAUAAGACGAGGCGGUAAACUAGCUUAGCAUCCCGGUAACGGUCUAAACUAAACCCUUAACGGUUCCAUAUCCGCUCCGUCGUUCAAACACAACACA